AAGUAGCUAGCCAAUGUUUUUUUAAAAAUGUUUUAACUAGGAAAGUCAGUUAAAAACAAAUUCUUAUCUACAAUGACGGCCUAGAAACAGUGGGAUAAUUGACUUGUUCAGGGGCAGAAUGAAAGAUUUUUACCUUGUCAGCUUGAAGAUUCGAUUUAGCAACCUUUCGGUUACUUGCCCAACGCUCUAACCACUAGGCUUCCUGCCGCCCCAGUUAGCUUGGGUGCUUGACUGUCGUUGUGAGGUCAGGGUUUUCGGGAACAACCCUACUUAUUGGCCAGAGUGUCCAGUGUGUGCUCUGAAUGCGAAACACUCUGAAUUUACAAAAGGACAAUCUGACAGCACAGUUGCAGUCACCAACGCUCUGGAUAACAUACUGUAACAGCCUAACAGCCUAUUGGUGAAAUAAUGCCUAUUGCUAGGUCACCAGAUCCCAACCCAAUUGAAGACUUAUGGGAGAUUCUGGAGCGGAGCCUGGUACAGCGUUUUCCAUCAUCGUCAACAAAACACCGAUUUAUGGAAUUUCUCAUGGAAGAAGUGUCACAGCCCUCCAAUAGAGUUCCAGACACUUGUAGACUAUAUGCCAUUGUGCAUUGAAGCUGUUCUGUCUCGUGGUGGAUGGCCCAAUGCCCCAAGACACUUUAUGUUGGUGUUUCCUUUAUUUUGGCAGUUACCUGUAUGUGUAUACUGCAUACACGGUUGACUGGAGUCGUCUUUACAGCUUUGAGACAGUAGGUGGUGCUAUGCCAUCUCGACAUAGCCUCACCGUACAGCUGUGAAAUGUCAAACGGCCGAUUGUCAGCAGUGCAUCUAACCACAACAGUGGGUGAAACUGUGAGUUUAGAUAAGAGAGAGAAUGCUCUUUCUCUAAGGUUUAAUCACCAAAAGGAAUUUGCCCUGUUCCAAGCAGUCCGUAUUUCCCCACUGAACUAAUAAGUAUGUGAAAGUUAACAAGGCUAUCGUUAUUUAAACAACCACUUAAUCUUUCUCUCUCUCGACAAUGCAACUGGAUUGGCCCAUGAUGAGCCCCUGUAUUCAUUCAGAAAAACGGUGAGAACUAGCUUCUUGAUUAUUCAAAUAAUAAGUUACCCCUCUCUGUAA